GACGAACGCUGGCGGCGUGCUUAACACAUGCAAGUCGAACGGUAAGGCCCUUCGGGGUACACGAGUGGCGAACGGGUGAGUAACACGUGGGUGAUCUGCCCUGCACUUCGGGAUAAGCCUGGGAAACUGGGUCUAAUACCGGAUAGGACUCCUGGCUUCAUGGUUGGGGGUGGAAAGCUUUUGCGGUGUGGGAUGGGCCCGCGGCCUAUCAGCUUGUUGGUGGGGUAAUGGCCUACAAAGGCGACGACGGGUAGCCGGCCUGAGAGGGUGACCGGUCACACUGGGACUGAGAUACGGCCCAGACUCCUACGGGAGGCAGCAGUGGGGAAUAGUGCACAAUGGGCGCAAGCCUGAUGCAGCGACGCCGCGUGAGGGAUGACGGCCUUCGGGUUGUAAACCUCUUUCAGCUAUGACGAAGCGCAAGUGACGGUAGUAGCAGAAGAAGGACCGGCCAACUACGUGCCAGCCGCCGCAGUAA
rnacentral:rRNA from 1 species